UCUAACGAGUGUGAACCAUCGUGUCAAAGAGAUGGGAUCUGAGCAAUGAGGCUUGUAAUGUGAACGCAGCUUAGAGAGUCACAGCAAAACAGCGUUCAGGACCUCAUUUAAAACACCUGCUUGACCUCAUCAGCUCAUUAUCAAGGCCUUCCUCAGACUUGUUUGUUAGAAGAGGGCAAACACUGUGAUACGCACAUAUUCUGGUCCUCCAGGUCUUGAGUUCUGGGUGACCGUCUUAAGGAAACUUUGAGGAAAAUGCUGUGGAGGGCAGGUGGACUCAAAUCUUCAACUUAAGAGUCACUUUGAGUGAAAUAAACCAAGCUGGAUUUAAAGGAAGAAAACCUCGCAUCUCCAUUUCUGUCGUAUUUCAGUGUUGUCCUUUUACAUCGUAAAUUUGAUGGUGAAUGGACCAAAAGAAACGGCCCAAAAUGACUUGGAAAGACGUCUGGUUCCAUUGACUUGCAUUAAAAGUAAAAUGGCCGUAUGUCCGAAGCCACACAAGCAAGUCUAUUUGUGAAACUUGACCAGAGAACUUGAAGAAUUGACAAUCUACGAUGUCUUUUAGGGUUCUCAAACACUAGAGGGCGCUGCCGAGUGAGUCCAAAAUGACUGGAUUAUGAUGGAGCAUUUGAGCACAAUCAUGGUUUAUAAAUGCUUAAAUCUUAAUGUAAAGGAAUGGUCACUUCUGGAAAACAGCAGCGUAAAACAUCUUAAACCUGCUGUUACAUUUUAAGAGCUUAAACUCGAGUUAGAGUUUAAAAUUGUGGCUCAUGUACGUUAAGUCAGUGAGCACAAAUGGCCAAUGAGCUGCUCUGCUCACCAACCAAUCAGCAUUCAGUAGUAGUAAUGUUGGCGUCCUGCAGCCCAAAAACUUUUCUUUGCUCUUUUUAGUGAAAUGCAUCCUUAUACCUUCUAAAAUUGUGCAAGUAAUUAGAAACUAUUUAACUUUUGAUUUUUAGCUGUUGCUCCAUUUGCUCCCAUUCGUUGAGGACUCGCUCGUGGGCGCCCUCUGCUGUUUUGCAGUCCUGUUUUAUAUAAUGGGGGAAAUAGGAAGUGGCCAGACUCCUAAGUUGUUAAGCUCAGUUCAAAUCAUCAGACACCAAAUGUGUCUUUGCUGAUUAACUACAUUUGGGGAAUGGGGAAAUGUGUAAGUUUGAUUGGAUGAUCCAUCAUUUUGUUUAUAUCAGUACUACCUUAAAUUAAAAGCGAUUAAAUCUGCCUUAAAUUAAACCAGUUGGUUACAUAAUGAAUCCUGCUCUGGCCUACACCAAGCCCUAAUAAAGGAUGGUCAUUUUGGCAAAUGAUGGUGCAAUAAAUGUUUGACACCCAUGA